AAUAGUUUUCUUCAGUGAGAUGCCUGGGCUGGUAGACAUGGGAGAGAGUUUUCUUGACUUAGGGAAAGAUUUCAACACUAUCUCCCAUAAUGUCCUCACAUUUGAAUUGAUGAAGUAGUGACUAGCCAACCAUGUGAGCACUUGGUGGGCAACAAGAAGUGAGCACCACAUUCUGUCUCAAAAGGAGUGAAGCAGAAGAAACAGAAGGACAUGGAAGUUUGAUAAACAUGGACAAACAAGGAAAAAUCACUUAAUGAAGAGAAAACACAGUUUAGGAUUGCUUCUUUUAAAGAAGUGAUGAGUAUGCUGAAAAA